UCUUGAUUAGUAUAGUGGUCAGUAUGCCAGCUUGUCAUUCGAUGUGACUAGUAACCGCUGGAGACCCGGGUUCAAUUCCCGGAUCGAGAG